rnacentral:rRNA from 1 species
AGUAACCCUACGCGAAAGUAGGGGCGUAAUAACCGGACUAAGAACCACCAUAACAUAUGUUACGUGGUAGAAGGUAGGCGUUAUAUUUAUUAUGAGCUAUCACUUGAGGACGAGUCCACUGGCCUAUCAGCUUGUUGGUGAGGUAAGAGCUCACCAAGGCUAUGACGGGUAGCUGGUCUGAGAGGACGACCAGCCACACUGGGACUGAGACACGGCCCAGACUCCUACGGGAGGCAGCAGUGGGGAAUAUUGGGCAAUGGGCGAAAGCCUGACCCAGCGACGCCGCGUGGGUGAAUGAAGGCCUUCGGGUUGUAAAGCCCUUUCGUGCGGAAAGAACAGCCCUGUAGCGAAUACCUACAGGGUUUGACGGUACCGCAGGAAGAAGCACCGGCUAACUCCGUGCCAGCAGCUGC